CCUACAUGUCAACUUUUGACACCUAACCUUUAAAUUAUUUAAUUUUGUAUAUUUCAAUCUAGCGCCAUGAAUAAAAAAGGUAUUUUCAGUUACCUAGCCAAGCUUCUUAAUCAGAGUACAUGUUUGCAAACUUGUAUUAUGCUACUCUCUACUUCUGGAUCAUAAAACUGCUAGCGAUGUGGCGACCCAAUACAAGAAUAAACCACCAAGUUAUGUGCUGAAAUAUCUUGGACAAGUACGACAAAUUGGGCAGACUGUCUUCAUUGAGCAAUAAAGAACAACGAUAAUAUAUAAUAUACAUUUUAAAUAAAUAAUUACAUAACAUAA